UACGUAGGGACCAAGCGUUGUUCGGAUUUACUGGGCGUAAAGGGCGCGUAGGCGGCAAUUCAAGUCAUCUGUGAAAUCUCCGGGCUUAACCCGGAACGGUCAGAUGAUACUGCUUUGCUAGAGUGCGGAAGGGGCAAUCGGAAUUCUUGGUGUAGCGGUGAAAUGCGCAGAUAUCAGGAGGAACACCGGUGGCGAAGGCGGGUCUCUGGGCAACAACUGACGCUGAGGAGCGAAAGCGUGGGGAGCGAACAGG
rnacentral:rRNA from 1 species